UCUAUUUUCUUGGUACCAGUUGGAUUCUUUAAACAUAUUUAUGUGUGUACACAGACACUCACAAUUGUAUAUCAGUGCACCUAUAGAAAAGGAAUUACCUUAUAUAAAGACUAUAUAAGAAAUCACCUGAGGUAUAGGUUUGAAAACAGCUUGGAAUUUUCAUAAGAUCAUUUUAGAAUAUGUUGAUAAAUGAAAAAAGAACAUAAUGGUAGAGUCCAGAGAAGGGAAUCAGAUCCCCCGAAACUGAAGCUAUAGAUGGUUGUGAGCUUCACAUGUGUGCUGGUGCAGCAGGGCAAUAUCGCAAGCACAAGCAAGUGCAUGCAAACUCUUAUAACAACUUACAAUGAGUAAGCAGAAUUAGCCAAGACAACUUGUCAGCAAACGCAAAGCUCUGUAACUAGGACAUCUGCCACUUACUAUGACCCUGGAAGUUCUCUAGUGCAGGCAUUUCACAACAGCCACUGAAGUCAGCUGCUUUGUCUACCAGGGUCUACUUCACAGCCUCAUGUCCAUAAAAGAUAACCACUGGCCUUAGACCAAAGCACACAGUGAACACUGAGCUAUAUUUUUCCUGGAGCUGGGAAUGAAGGAAAACACCGAGGGAAGGAAUAAAAUUGCAAAAUGAACAGACACCCAGUCAAGGAAUGUAGAGGGUAGAAAUUCUAAGAGAAUGAAAAAACAUAGAAUAGAGAAUGGUGUUGGACAUGGAAUUGCUAUUAGGGGAAAAAAAAGCUUCAAAAUGAUUCCUUGACGUUGGGUAGCACAUGUCACUAGUUUUGUUUGGGAAACAAUGGACUUCAACUAGAUGAAUUCUGUGACCUACACAUUCUCUCCUUGAAAUGCUAGGUUUCUAGCAUCUUAAAAGUCUAGGACAAUUUGAGAACAAAAGAUGUGCUUAAAGAAAUGAGAUUCCCCAAAUCCUUAGAUUGUGAUCCAGAGUCCUAAGAAGCAGUGUCUCUGUUCUAGUGUACUCAGUCUAAUUUUUUCCCCUUCAUUUUAGGAUUCUGCAAUUUCAGACACUAAGUUUUCUAAAGUUUCUUUCUGAGUCUAUGUUUAGGCAUCAUAAAUUUUUGUGUGUAAUCAUCUAUGCUGUUUAUUGACUUUGUUGCUAUAGGAAGCAAUGGACACACUUAACUUCAGGAAGAAUUGAAAGAAGACAUUAACACAGAAUUGUAAUAGGUUCCUUCCAGAAAUGGUAUUGGUGUGGGGCCAGGGAACAGCUUCCCUCCCUUAUUGGUUCUCUCCCACACAAUCAAGAUGAGCAGUUCCACCUAUCUAAAGAAGUUCAGAAGCAAGAUGUUUACUUCCCUGGUUCAGCAUAUCCAAUGACAUGCAUACAGCCUCUGAGACCUUCCCACUUAGCCCUGAGACGUUCAUCCCCCUGAAUCACAUCUAAUGCUAAAGAAGUUUUGUCAUCCACUGUGUGGCCUAAGAUAAAGAAGGGUUCUUAGCAAAGUUGCCCAGGGUGGCAGUACAGCCCCCUGCUGAUGUGUAGCAGUCAUCAAUGCCAGCCAUCAUCAGAUCAUCAGUAGCUUCUUGGGCACAGGAGCGUGGACUAUACCAGUGCCUCUGGGGGCAGGGAUGAGACCUACCAGCACAGAACCACAGCGGCCUGUCACUUUGCAAGGAAUAGUGUGAGGCUUGCCAAUCUUGUUCCACCAGUAGCCUCUCCGCACAGGCCACCUUUGAAGCCAUCUCUAAGACCUACAGCUACCUGACCCCCGACCUCUGGAAAGAGAUUGUGUUCACCAAGUCUCCUUAUCAGGAAUUCACUGACCAUCUUGUGAAAACCCACACCAGAGUCUCUGUUCAGAGGACCCAGGCUCCAGCUGUAGCCACCAUAUAAGGGUUUUUAUACGAGGAAAAUAAAAGUGAAUUAAGUCUGUUUUUAAAAAAAGAAAGAAAGGUUCUUAGUAGAUGGGGGCAGUAUCCCUGCCCCAAAGUGAGAACUGUGACAGUUACUUCAUGAAAUGCACCUCAUGACUGCCACUGGGAAUCCUGGGUUGGAAUAAUGACCCGAGUUCUGUGUCACAUACCCUGUUGGACAGGACCAAGGUCCUGGUGUCAUUCAAGUCCAUUCUGGCACCUUGCUAAAGUCAAAAAAGUACAGAUGUGAAGCCUAAAAUCACCAUGGUUUCCUGACAUUUCUUCUCAACCACUGGAGUAUAGCAAUAAUGUUCUCCUGUUAAACUCCCCACUGCCAGGAUUACAGGUGUGCGCUACCACACCUGAGACAUUUCAAAUACUUGAGGGUCAUGUUUUGGAAGCAGCUAUCAUAAGUACAAUGUCUUUCUAAUACACUAUGUGGCUUAAGAUAAAGGUUCUUAACAUCUAUGUAUUUCUGCCUAUUACUAGGUGAAGGCAAUACAUAUCUCCCAAAGUGUGAAGACUCUAAUCCUUACUGCAUGAAAUAUGCUUCAUGGCUCCCACUGUGAAUCCUGGGUUGGAAUAAUAACACAAGAUCAAUGCUAGAUCACCCUGUUUGGCAGUAAGGCAGAAAGAAGGUCCGAGAGUCAUUCAAGUCCAUUAUGGCACUUUGCCAUGGUCAGAAAAGCAUCUGUGCUUCAGAAAAUCACUGUGGCUUCCUGACUUACCUAUUCAACUUCUAGAGUAUAGCUCUACUGCCAACACCAAUGGGCAUUAGCUGAACAUCACAAGAAGAUGCUGCCUCCCCUCACUCCAUCUCUCUCUCCAGUAAAAAGAACUGAAGUCUUGUAAAGAAGAAAAGUCUAAGGAUGGGCAUGGCCACCCCUGAUUUUCAUGUCUGCACUAGGAAGGGUUAUAUUAAGCAUGUAACCUUGCCUAAGUAACUUAACAAAACCCUAUGUCCAAAUAAGGCCUUAAAAGAGUUAGUGAUAUAACACUUGCCUGGUGUCUUUGUUACUUUUCUUUUGCUGUGAAUAGACACCAGGACAAAGGCAACUUAUAGAGGAAAGCCUAUAUUGGGGUUGCUUAGGAUGCUAGAAGGUUUGAGUCCAUGAUUAUCAUGGCAGAGAGCAUGGCAGCUGGCAGGCAGGCAUGGCGCUAGAGCAGUAGUUGGGAGCUCAUAGCCUUAUUCAAAAGCACAAGACAAUGGAAAGAGAGCUAACAGGGAAUGGUUGGACUUUUGAAAUUUCAAAACCCACCCUUAGAGACAGGCCUCUUUCAAAGGCACACCUCUUAAACCUUCCCAAACAUUUUGAUAAGCUGGGGACCAAGAAUGCAAAUAUGUACGUCUAUGGGGUCAUUCUUAUUCAAACUAACAUGCAUGGACUCUGGCAAUCAACAGUGAGAAACUUGGAG